rnacentral:misc_RNA from 1 species
GCAAACAUCUUUUUCUCUCUGGUUUUGGAGCUUGUUUUGUUUAGCUACCAUUAUAGUAGCUCGUUAAUGUGUUAGCUUCCUUGAAGUUAGAUUCCAGAUCUGCAUGUCAGUCAAAAUGGAAGAAGGGGCAUCCGGGGAUUGCAGAAGCUGGAAUGAGGAAAUUUACUGGACCCAUUUUCAGUACAUCCAUUUCUCUCAGUUUCUCCAUGCUGGGUUUGAUCAGUGCUUGGCAAUCCCUGAAAAUUUUACUAGAAAUUUGACAAGGAAGUUGCCUGAUACUGUGACUCUUAAAGGUCCUUCUGGUACCAAAUGGGAAAUAGGCCUAACUGCAAAUGAAAAUACCUUGUUCUUUGACCACGGUUGGAAAGAAUUUGUCAAAGAUCACUCUCUUGAAGAGAAUGAUAUCUUGGUCUUUAAGUACAACGGAGAAUCUAAUUUUGAUGUUUUAAUGUUCAACGGGUGGAGUAUGUGUGAGAAGGCAGCUUCCUAUUUUCUGAGAAAACGUGAACCUAAAGAAAAUGACUGUGGAUGCCAAAUUGAAAGAAAAAGUGGUCAAAGUUGUGCUGGAGUUGCCAUUGGAAGUUCUCUGAAAAAGAAACCUAAACAUAAUGAUAUCCACACUACACCAUUAAAGCAGCCUGUCAUCUCCAAAGUUGCUAAUAAGAAAGCUCAAAGAGAUCUUAAGUUCAAGAAGCCCAUUUCUACCAAGAACAGUGCAGGAAACAAAGAACCUUAUACUUGUGAUGAGGACAUAGAGGCAAAACCUGGCAUUGAGCAGACAAAGGAAGAAGCAGAGAGUGUAAUACAAUUAGCACAAGCAACACUAACUGAUAAGGGCUUUAUUGUGGAGAUGAAACCCACACAUGUAUCCAGAAAAUUUUUUAUGUCAAUCCCUGCUACAUGGGUGGGUAAACACAUCUCUUGUAGAGAAAAUCAAGAUGUGAUUCUACGUAUUAAAGAGAAUACAUGGUGCACAAGAUUAUAUUAUCGUAAAAGACCAAAUAGAGGAGGACUUGCUUGUACCGGGUGGAGGAGUUUUGUUUUGGAUAACAAGCUACAUGAAUUUGAUGUGUGUGUGUUUGAACCCAGUUGCCUUGCCAACAAGUCCAUUAUCCUAGAUGUUAACAUCUUUCGUGUUAAUAAAUGAGUUUACCUCUACAAGGCGUUGAGCGUCUUCAUGCUUGUAAAAUGUUCUGUUUUUGGCUGUGCUCUCUGUGAAUAGCUUUUAAACUGUUUUAGGUGUUUGUAUGUAUUAGCUUUCCAGUACUGAAACCUUCUGUACAUAAAAGUUGCUAGUUUUUAUGGUAUCUUCAGAGAGAGACAGUU